rnacentral:lncRNA from 1 species
AGGUAUAAGAUUUCCACUAUAUUUCCCCCUGGUGAAUGUAGGAAAUUUCUCCCCCAAAAAAAUUGAUAUUUGCUUCUGAGAUUGUGAUUUGCAGAUGGGAGGGGGACUGUCAACCCAAAAGGUUUGGAGUACUACAACAACCUUAUAGAUGAGCUAGUAAAACACGGUACGCCUAUUUGCAGUAUUUCAUCUACAAAAUAUUUAAUAGAUGAGCCAGGCAAAUUAUAGUGUACAGAAAAAAAAUCUCUCCACAGUGCAAUAUAUGAGGCUAUGAGUAACUGUGGAAACAUGCCAUGGUUAACUUUUUUGGGGGUUCUUUAUCCACUAUCUGAACCUCCGUGGCCUCUGAGUUUCUUCAGGGAUUCAAGUCCAUGUUAUGCUGCACCAUCUCGAUUUCCCACAAGUUCUGGAGGAUGUGUAUGGAGGCUGGUUAAGCCCUAGAAUUGUGUAAGACCCUGCCAACUCUAUAGUGACCAAGUAAAUCAAAAUCUUGGAAAUAAUCAGGUUUUCCCUACUUUCCUAGUGAUAGUGCCUCACCAGUGGCACUGCAAAAUGCAGGGAGGAUUUCACAACAUUUGCAGAUGUAUGCUUCAGGGAGUUCGGAGACAGGGUUUCAUACUGGACUACGAUAGAUGAACCUAAUGUCGGUGUAAUCGGGUCUUACGAUACCGGAAUAUUCGCACCCGGACAUUGCUCCGAUCCUUUCGGACUGAUAGAAUGUAUCGUGGGGGACUCAACUGUGGAACCGUAUGUAGCAGCUCAUAACAUGAUAUUGGCGCAUGCAUCAGCUACAAGACUUUACAGGAAAAAAUAUCAGGUGACAUAAGAUCUUGUUAACUGCAAAAACACAAUUCUUUUAGUUCCACACGAUGUAUUUUCAUAUGAAAAUUUGUGCCCAACUGUCCAUAUAAACAGAGUUUUGCACGUAGGCCACGCAAAAAGGACUGGUUGGCAUAAAUGUUUACUCCUUUUGGACUUAUCCUUUGACAAACUCUACCGCUGACUUACAAGCAACAGAAAGAUAUCAGGACUUUGUGUUCGGCUGGUAUACUAUUUUGACUCUUUGCUUCCAAAAUCCAUAAUGUGAGCCAAACAUGGAGCUCAUUAACACGUGGUGCUUUGCAGGGUACUAGGUCCCUUGGUGUUUGGAGAUUACCCACAAGUGAUGAAGAAGAAUGUUGGUUCUCGACUCCCAUCCUUCACAAAAUUCCAGUCUGAAGCUAUCAAGGGCGCCAUUGAUUUCAUUGGAAUAAAUCACUACUUUUCUAUCUAUGUGAACGAUCGCCCUUUAGACGAAGGUCCUCGGGACUAUGAAGCAGACAUGUCUGUUUAUCAGAGAGGUAAGCAAAUGUUAUGUCUGUAUAGGUAUUAUAUCUGUUUUGCUCAUAAUUCUAUAGCAGCACAAGUCUUUAAUUUAGAUCGCUUAUCUAGUACAACAUGUUAAUGCAAAGGACCAAACAAACAAAUAAAAAGAUACAUAAAAUUGUUACAUAUAUACUAACCAAAUAAUUUCAUGGCACUUCUGAAACAUAGUAUGUACCGUCUUGUCAAAUCUAUGGUUCGAAUGCCACAUCUAACAGAAUACUCAUCUCUCUGAUGCAGGAUCUAGAACAGACCCACCAUCUGGUCAGGUAAAGUUUCGACGGUGCUUGUCAGAGAUACUACUGCUUACAGCUAGGAAUUCUGAUCCUACAGGAGAUACUGAAAAUACGUACGCUUAUUUUUUGAGAAGGCGUAAAUUACACUUGAAGCUGAUAGAUACAACUUUAAUUUCCCAUGGAGUGCAGUUUAACCCAGAAGAUUUUCCGAACGAUCCGGAUGGACUACAAUUUGUGCUCCAGUACCUGACAGAAGCCUAUGGUGGCCUUCCCAUUUAUGUCCACGAGAAUGGCAAGUCGAUACAACUUCUGAUUAUUUACAACGAUCUCCAAAUGUUUAGUUCAACAGACAAGAUCAUAUAAAAAAUUUCAUGUUUUUGCAGACAUCACAGUAUGUAGUUCAUCCUUGUUUGACUAUAUCUUCUGCCCUGUCUUCCCUGUAUUUAUUCAGGCGAUGCAUCUGACAACGACGUUCUCGAUGACACCGACCGGCUCGAGUACCUGAAGAGCUACAUUGGGAGUGCACUGGCCGCAGUAAGGUCGGCCAUUCAACAAAACUUCCCAACAAAUAUAGUUGCAGGCAAUGGGGGUGCCUCAUUUUUUUCCGCAAAAUCUUCAGGGGUUCAGACAGGCAUGCCUACCUUACCAUGGUGCAGUUUAAUUUGUUCUGCAGGAAUGGUGCUAACUUGAAAGGCUACUUCGUCUGGUCCUUCCUGGACCUCUUCGAGUUCCUGGGAGGGUACAACUCAGGGUACGGCCUGUACCGUGUCGAGUUUGGCGACAAGGCGCUGCCACGGCAAGCUAGGCUCUCUGCUCGCUGGUACUCCGACUUCCUGAAGAAGAAGAAGGACAGUGGCAGCGUCCAUGUUCAGAAUGAGCUUGAGAAUACAGGAUCAAGAGAGAAAGUGUUGCAAGUAAAUGAAAUUUAGGAAGCAUGAUAGCGCAAUUCAGCGUAUACACUGAAAAUAUUUGAGAAUAGAAGAUUCACCGAGUCACGUAAAUUAAUUGUACUGCCUCCGUUCCUAAAUUUGCCGUGGUUUUAGUUCAAAUAAGAAUUUAGAAAGGGAGGGAGAGAGUAUAUCAGUAAAUAAAACAAAUAGAGCCAAAUUGAUAUCGCCUUAUCUUAUUUUAGGACGGAAGUACCGUAUAUACUACAUUUUCUUUUCAGAUCAGUACACUAAUAUAGAGGGACGAUCUUUUCUGCAUAUAAUCAAUUGAAAAGAAACAUGAAUUGAAACCACAAUACUCGUACUACAUCAAUCUUCUUCUUCUUCUUCUUCGUCCAGCUACAGCUAUCUUCUGGAUUGGUGGCCUCAAUUCCUGGGAUGCAGGUGACAGAGGUGAUGAAGGUAGGACGGCCAAUCCAUCUCGUAGAGCACACGGGCGUUAUACUCACACUGAUCGCAGCCGUGGUACCCUCGGCACCCCAAAGCCACCAUGCCCUGCCACCGGCUCCAUCUCCUUGCUCUCCAGGUCCAGGACGAACAGGUGGCCAUGCUGGACGAGCAACGCACCUCUGCUCUCCGCGAACCCGAGAAUCGCCAUCGGUCGUUAACGUUUCCCCUCUGCCUCUGGCCUGAUCCUUGUGAUCCGUCUCGCUUCGUCCAGAGCUGGAGGUCUUACGUUAGCGAAGCAGAGGUUUCCUCCUUUGGAGACGCACGGGAACGGUGGCCGCAGCCGCGGCUCGACUUGGAUCGGGAUCUUGGUUAAGGGGAGGCUGCUGGGACGUCGCCGGCCGUUAUGGUUAUGCCGAGGGAGUAGAAGCUUGUCUCGUCCCUAAUUUGUGGUCAAAGGUUGGUCAAACCGAACCCUAAUAUGGCCCGUAUCGUUGGACGGAGGGAGUAACUAAGCCCCUGCAUAUCGGUCCACGUCGGUUAUCGAUCGUCCAUCGAGACCUAGCUAGAUCGAAGAUGGCGGCUGCCGCCGCAGUUUCAGACGAUGUCCUCCUCGAGAUCUUCGCGCGCGUGCGGGACCCCGUGGACCUCCUCCGCUGCGCCGGCGCGUGCAGGCGCUGGCUCCGCCUCGCCGCCGCCGACGACCCGUCCUUCCUCCUCCUCCGACGCGCCGCCGGCCUCUCGCCGCCGCCGGAGAAGAACAACGCCGCGCCGUCGUCCUCUAACUUCAUCCUCGGGGCUUUCUACCAGAACGCGGUCCUCGUCUCCGCGUCGGCGGCGCAGGACAAGAAGGGGAAGAACCGCCUCGUCUAUCCGCCGCAGUUCGCGAGGCUCGUCCGCUCGCCAAGGCUGUCCGAGGGCUUCUUCCCCGACGACGACGACGGCGUCUUCAGCUACGCCAAGCCCCUGGCCUCGCGGCGCGGGCUGCUCCUGGCGCGCGUCAUGCCCACGCCCCUCGACCGCCGCAAGCUCCACCUGGCCGUGUGCCACCCGCUCCUCGGCCACCGCCGCAGCACGCGCCUCGUCCCGCCGCCGCCGCACCUCGACCUCUUCGGCGCCGACAUCACCGGCUACGCGCUCCUUCCAACCGACCACCGCGACCACCAACGGGAGCCCGAGUUCCGGGUGCUCAUCACCGCCGUCCACGCCGGCGACCGGGAGGACGACAAGCCCGCGCACCACUACGCCUACUGCUACUCCUCCGCCACAUCCACCUGGAGGAGGAGCGCGCCCAUCGACUGCCCAGCCAUGACCAUGUGGAACGCUAGCACUGCUACUUCCUCUUCCAGCGGCGGCGGCCUCACCAUGUCCGGGCCGCGCGCCGGCGUCGUGGACGCGCACGGCACGGUGCACUGGCUGUACAGGGACGAGACAAGCUUCUACACCCUCGACGUAGCAAUAUAAACAGCCAGCGGCGUCCCAUCGGCGUCGCUAACCAAGCUCCCGAUUCCAGCCGAGCCGCGUGACCCGCGGGCGCGGCGGCGGCGUCCGCGGCAGCUGCAGCCGCCGCCGUUCCCGUGCGUCUCCAAACAAGGGAACCUCUCCUUUGCCCGCUUAAAAGCCAGCGGCCGCGUGCUCGAGCUCUGGACCAAGCGAGUCGACGAAUCACAAGGCUGGGAGACUCGCUCCGGGCUGAUUCGCGAGGAGGGCGGCCGUGAGGCCAGGGGAGCGGCGGCGGCGAUCCUCGGGUUCGCGGAGAGCGGAGGCGCGUUGCUCGUCCAGAAUGGCGGCGAGUAUAACGGCGGGCUGUGCGCUCUUGGCCUGGAGAGCAAGGAGAUGGAGCCGGUGGGAGAGCAUGGCGGUGGGUGGCCGCUCUGCGGUUCGCUCGGGUGCCGAGGACACGACAGCUGCGAUCAGUGUGCGUAUAACGGGCGCGUGCUCUACGAGAUGGACUGGCCGUCCUACCUUCGGCACCUCUGUCACUCGGAGACAAUGGAAAUGUGGGAGUUCGAAAACGUGCAAACGGAAACGAAAUGACUGAAUGCCAUGAAAUCCUACCAAAAGAAACAUAAGAGUUGCUGCAGAGAUGCUCUUGUUGUUGCAAGAAAAAAAGAAAUGCAGGCCGGCUCACCUCGUGGCGCCACCGUGCAAACGGGGAUUUCCUAGCGCCGGCCACCGUGGCACCGUCCGUCUGUCUCCCAGAAUGUGACACUCACACCGUCACACGCCCGACUGGAGAAAAACCCAAAAUAAGUUUGUGAUUCGGGCGAAAAUCCCAAAAGAAGAUUGAGAUUCAGAGCCAGUGGCAAUGCUCGAUGCAGACGAGCGAUUAGGACACGACAGGACAGGACGAGAGCUAAGCUAGGGCCCCGCCUUAUCCGCAGACGAGUGACACAGUGAGCACACGCCUGCAGCAACAAUUGCAGCCAUGGCCAUCUUGUCUUCCCUGCUGCUGCUGCUGCUGCUGCUGUCCGCCGCCCAUGGCGCGGCGGCUCCUGCUCCCGACGGCUACACGAGGAGCGACUUCCCGCGGGGGUUCGUCUUCGGAGCCGCCACCUCCGCGUACCAGGUGCCCAUCCGGAUCGAUCGGUUCCCUCCCUCCGCCUAGUCGACCAUUCUUGCUCUUGUUAACUGAUCUGCUAGGCAUUCCCAUGUUUUGCAGUACGAGGGCGCCGUUGCUGAAGACGGCAGGAGCCCAAGCAUCUGGGACACCUUCACUCAUGCAGGUAUUACAACAUAAGCAAUCGAUCUAUCAGCUUCCGUGCAGAUACAGGGCCAAAUCGAGUCAAGAACUGGACGCGCAUUAGUAGUACGUAGUCCCGAAUUGACCGUGCUGGUUUCUGAAUUCUGACGGCAGGGAAAACGCCGGACAAGAGCGUAGGCGAUGUCGCUGCCGACGGGUACCACAAGUACAAGGUGCGCACGUACCUGACUAGCCGCUCUCAAGUUCACAUCAUCUGCUUCAUUCAUUCUCUCCACCUGGUCAUGUUUAAGCAAAGCAUGUACUACCAAAACUGUACCUAGAAAGCAAAGCAUCACCCCCAUUCCAUAUUCCUGUCUGCAUUGAGGUAUGAUGGUUUUCUAGGUUCAAUUCUUGAACAGAGUUUUAACCAGACAUCAUUUGGUGUGUUCAGGAUGAUGUCAAGCUCAUGGCGGAGACGAACCUGGAGGCGUAUAGGUUCUCCAUCUCCUGGUCAAGGCUUAUUCCAAGUACAAUUUUCUUUGUCAUAUAUUUUUAUCGCAUUAGGCUUGAAAACCACACAAAAAAAUAUAUCUUAUUGUUGGUCCUCAAAUUGAGAUUUGCAGAUGGGAGGGGAGCUGUCAAUCCAAAAGGUUUAGAGUACUAUAACAACCUUAUAGAUGAGCUAGUGAAACAUGGUAUGUUUUGUGUUGUACUGGAAAAAAAAACAUCGUUAUAUUUCAAAAUCUAUUGUAUGAUAAAUGCUAAAAAGAAAUCUAACAUGAUAUAUUUUCAUGUCCCCCAAUAUCUGAACCUCUGUGGCUGUCGCGUUUCUUCAGG